rnacentral:lncRNA from 1 species
GAGUACCUGGCGGGGAAUCCAUCACGGAUAGAAAAACCUAAAAAAAGAAUCAAAGAACCACAAAAUAGCCACACAGACAAACCAAAAAAGAGUAAAACUAAAAAAAGUAACAAUGAGAAAAGUCAGAGGCCGGGAGAAGGAGAACGAGAGAUUGUAAAGUAGAGCUUGACAAAGAAGAAGAGAGCGAGAUCGAGUGAGAAAGUGAGAGCUUUCGUUCCGAUCGUUAGUGCGUAAACAACAACGUUGUUUUAUGUUGAUUGGAGAACAGAACUGAUCAAUAUAAAUAAGAUAGAGUUAUUUGCGGGUUAAGGCGGUGGUAUUACUAAGUCUCUUUUUUUUUGUUUUUCUUUAUUCUACCACUAAAAAAAAAUUAAGUAUCAUAUUAUUAUCAUUUUCUAAUUAUGUACUAUAUUACUAUCAUUAUUUUUUAAUUAUGCAUCAUACUAUUAUUAUUUUUUAAAUUAAAAUAGCUGCAACCGACUUUUCAAAAUAUUUUUAUUUUAUUUUAAAUUAAGUAAAGGAGAAUUGGUGUGGCAGAAAUACAUUCUUUAAUUGCAUUUUUUUAAUUAUUAUAUAUAUAUAUAUAUAUAUAUAUAUAUAUAUUUGUUUUUAUUAGUAGUACUAAUAAACACAAGUAUAAAAAGUUUAGAUACAAGUAUAAGAAGUUUGAUCAAUUAACAAUGACAUUCAUGCGUAUAGAGAUUGAAUAAUUAUAAUUUGUAAAUAUGAGAUAAUCCCACACAUUAUUAUUAUUAUUUUUGUUAACAUCUUUCAUAAUAAUAAAUAUACAUUUUAUUAUUUAAUAAUUAUUAUUUUAAUUAAAUAAUUAAUUUUAGUAAUUAUUAUUUUAAUUAAUAUAUUAAUUUAAAUUUCAUUAAUUAUUAAUAUAUGUUUCAUUAAUUAUUAAUUUAAGUAAAUAUUAUUUUAAUUAAAAAAAUAAAUACAAUGUUAAUUUUUUUAUAAUAAUCAUCUAAUUAAAUUUUAUUUUUUAUAAUUAUUAAAAAAUUUAAAUAAAAUAGAGUUCAUAAAAAGAACAAAAUUUAAUUAAAUAUUAUAAUUAAAAUACAAAUACAAAAUCAGAACCAACCAACCAGUGGAGGAUUGAUCUUAAUGCACCGUACGAUGAUGGUCCUAUCUGUGUUGUGGCUGGUGUCCACAAUGAAGAAGUUGACGAUUUUAGCGAGAAUGAGGAUGACGUUCUUGUUGAAGUUGUUGUCGAUGACGAAGAUGAUCAUGAACUAGUAGUAGAAUAUCCAUAUACUACAAUUUAUUUCUCUGACCCCCUCACAUUUUUGCAACGUGGCCUCCGACAACAUGAAUUACGUUGACGAUGAAUUUGUCAAUUCUAUGUCCCAAAACCAAUCUUACCUUGUUCCAGAUCUUGCAAAUCUCCGAGUGGGGAUGAAAUUUCUCACAAAAGUUGUGGCAAUUCAGUGUGCAAAAGAAUAUCAUAUGCACAAUUCUACGUGCUUCGUCGUUGCACAUUCUAACAGUACUAGAUGGAUUGUCCAUUGUAUAAAUAAAAAUUAUAUGUGGAGGUGUAGAAUCUUGAAUAGAAAUAAAUCAAACAUCUUGAAGAUCACAAAACUAGAAGGGUCACACAUAUGCUCAUGAACAAUGGUUUCACAAGAUCACCCACAACUCUCUUUGGCUGUUAUUUGUGAAAGCAUCCUACAAAUGAUAACAUCGGAUCCCACAAUAUCAGUUUCAGUAUUGAUUGCACAUAUACGAUCACGUUACACAUAUACCACUUCUUAUAGAAAGGCAUGGAUUGCAAAUCAAAAGGCCAUUGAAAGAAUAUACAGGAAUUGGGAGGAAUCAUACAAAGGAAUUCCAAGGUGGAUCCUUGCUUUCAAACAUUAUCUUCCAAGCCUUGUUAGCGAUAUUGAAGUGCUAUCCUUUAUUGAGGAUGACCAAGGAGUUCCUAGCAAACCUAUUUUCCAUCGUCUCUUUUGGAGUUUCCAACCAUGUAUCAAUGGGUUUGAUCAUUAUAAGUCAGUUGUUUCAGUUGAUGGAAUACGGUUGUAUGAGAAGUAUCAUAGGACCUUACUAAUGGCAAUCGCUCAGGAUAGUGAUGGCCAUACCAUUCCUAUAGCACAUUUCCUUAUAAGUAGGGAUUUAGUUGAACCGAUUUUGACAAAACCCGAUACUCUAACUGAUCGAUUAUCUUUGGGGUUGUUUUGAGUUUUAAAUCCAUUUUUUUUAACUCGAGCCGAAUUGAUUCGAUCAAGAACGGGUUGAGUUGGAUUGGUGGGUUAUAACAUGUUUAUUUUACGGGAGAAACAUAAGUAACAAUUUAAUUCAUUGAAAAUAUAUUUAAUACUUGAAUGUCUCAAAAAACCAACAAUCUCUCUCACACAAAUACAUAAAUAAAUCCAAAAAUCUUCAAAUACAUAAAUAAAUUCAAUAAUCUUCAAAUACAUUACUUUCAUCCUUACAUACAACCCACCAACCAUUUUAGUUUACUAAUCAGUUGCAGAUCUUGAACUAAAACAUUGGAGUGACCAAAUUUUUUAAAUUUUAAUAGAUAAACCAAAAAUAUAAUAUUGUAUUGUAUAUAAGAAUUUUAAGUUGUAAAUUUACAAAAAUAUAUUGAAGAAGUAUAGUAAAUUAAAUUUUAGUUGACAUUUUUAAUAAAUAAAAAUUAGUUGGAAUUUAGGUUGAUUUUUUUUUAUAAGUAUAGUAAUUGUUUUUGUAAUUUUUUGUAUAUAAGUUAUUUCCUCUGAUUUUUUGAUAUAGACAUCUAGAUUAUAAUUUGAUCUACAAAAAUUGAUGUAUUUGGUUGAAGGUCGUCUUAAAGAUUUUUGAGGAUUUUUUUAAUCUAAAUGCCUACUUUUAAAAAAUGUUCACCAAAAUGUCAAAAUAUAUAUAUACCAAAAUGCCCUAUGUUGGCACGAGUAAUUAGUAACUGUAAGAGGUCGCAUUGCCGGAAUGCGACCAUGUGAAAAACUUUUUUUUUCCUCAAUAAGAGGUCGCAUCCUGAGGAUGUGACAAACUGAUACGUUUAUUUUUUUAUUUUUUUUAUUUUAACAUUUGAAAAAUUAAAAAAAUUAUUAAUUUGAUUAAUAAAAAAUAAUUAAAAUACUUAAAAAAAUUAUAUUAAUAAAAUCAAAAAAAAUAUAUUAACUUGAUAAAUAAAAUACAUAAAACUUAAUGCGGUUGACUAGAUGUGUCAAAACAAAUAAAGUCUUCAUAAUAUUUUGGGGAUAAAAUAGCAAUACAAUUUUAUUUUGUUAACAACUCUCUCUUAAUUUUUAUUUCAAUAAAUGAAAAAGUAAUAUAAAUAAUAAUAAUAAAAAUAAAUAUUGUUAAACAAAUGAUAAUAAAAUAUUUAAAAAAAAUCAAAAAUACAUUAUCUUCAUAAAACAUGUCAUCUACAUAAAUUAAAAAGAUGAAUCAUCCUUAAUGCUUUGUAAUCCUAUAGAACGUAAAAUAGUCCUUUCGAGCUUAUAACCAUUUCCAUCCCUCCUCGUCAAAGGAAAAGAUUCAACUUUUUUUUCUACUAAAAACCAUAUGAAACGGAAUUCUAACUCCCCCAACAACAACAUUACAAUUCGAUGAACCAGAUCAACAACAAAGUUAAACCUGUUCAUACAAAAUGAUAACAAUUCUCACUAGAAUUACAUACACAUAUUGAGAUACAAGUAAACAUAUUUGUUCAUUAAAGUUGUGCUUAAUGGUAUUUGUGUUAAAUGGUAUAUAUAUAUAAUUAGUAACACAUACCAAUACCAAUUUUAAAUUAAAUAAAAUGGAUAUGAUUUUAAUGCCUCUUCUAUAUUCAAAUUUGACAUGAUUUGAAAUGAAAACAUAAUCAUCCAAAUAUAUUGACUAAAAAUAACAAAUUCAGAAAGCCAAAUACACAAGCAACAAGUUCAACACUAUACUGAGCAAAACCUAGUACUCAACAAUUCAAGUACCAAAUCAGAGCUCUAAAUCCAAGUCCAACAGACCCGAUAAUAACCAAGUUACUAGUCAAAUCAAUUCAAAUUUCAACUCAAAAGUAGACUGAGUAUAUGAUAAUUGAAACUAGUAUUCUUUUUUGCAAUGCCACUGUUAUUUUCUCCUUUUUUUUUUAGGAGUUCCUAAAUCCAAUAAGUACUAAAUAUAUGUAUACAUUUCUCAUAUAUUAAUUUCCUUAACCACAAACCAAAAUCAAACUUAGAAAAAUAGCAACUCAACAACUAAUACAACAACAAUGGUUCAAAAUUAUAUUCAAAUGUCAAAAUCACAAUACAACAGUGAAAGUGAAUCUGGUUGGACUAAUUAAUUGAACCACUCUUUCAAUAAAUGAAAUUAUAAUAAUCUGAUAGUCUUUUCAUUAUUUUUCAACCACAUUUAACCAUAUUUGAAAAAUUAACAAUAUAGGUAAGUGAACUAGAAUCAAAAUUGUUAAGUAAGAAACAAGAAUUACCAAAAAAUUAUAGAAAUUUAAAGUUGAAAGAAUUGUGAAAGGAACAAACCUAUUUAGGAAAAUUACUUAGAAAAUAGUUGUCUUCGUCUUCUGUUCACCACACAAAAAAAAACAUGGGCGAAGGAAAUGAGACAAAGGAAAAAAAAAAGAUAGGAACCUAGAACACUUCUCAACAAAGAAAGAAACAACAACGACGAAACUCUCGAAAGUGACGACAACGCUCUCGAAAGUGACGACAACGCUCUCGAAAGUGACAACAACGCUUCUCGAAGGAAGGGGAAGAAUAAGAAAUGGCGAUGACAGUUGUUGGGCGGCAAAGCUACAAAUGGAAGCAAAAAAGCGAGUUCCCGCGAUAGAGAUGUAAAGCGCACAUGUUCUAUAUUCUGAUUUUUGGGUUUAGGGAAUAGUUUUUAAAUUUACCACCAAUUUGUUUAUUACAUCGGGUGUAUAACAACUGAUCUAAUAAUGUUGAGUUUGUAAUAUUAAAAUACACUAGUUGCCCUAAGUCCGAUCGAGCUAUCCCACCAUAGGUACGAGCUUAUUAGGGCUGGGCCAAAAAGCCCUAUUUAAAAUCGAUUGUGAAAUUUAGAAUCCAAGUCUUAUGUUUUUAUCGAGCUUUUUGGGUCGGUCCAUUUGGACUAGUCCAUUUUGACUGCUUAAUGGUAGUUGUAGUAAUGAUGGUGAUGGCUAAAGUAGAAUAACAUCUCACAAAAAAAGGAGGAUUGAAUUGUUUCCUUUAAAAAUUUAUAUCUAAAGCAAAUAUCUCAAGUUGUCACUUGGAUAAGAAUGUUAAUUUAAAAACAAAGAAAACGUUCUUUAUCGGAAUUAUAUAAAAAAAAUGUAAAAGUGUGAUUAAUGUACAUGGUUAAAAGAUUAAUGUAAAGAAAAUCACACAAAAAUUUAUCCUAAGUCACCCUUAACUUUGAGCUACGUCCCGUCCUCGCACCAUAUGAAAUUUUUACUAUUUAGCUGAAAACUUGAUCUAAAUACACUCUGUUAAAACAAUAUUUGUUUCUGCAACAAGAGUUAACCAACAAAACAGAAAAACAAUCGAUUGCAAAGAAAAAAAUGAAAAGGGGAGCGUUCUGCGUUUUCUGCUGAAAACGAAGAACGUUCUGGACAUAAUUGAAAAAACCAGAAAAACGAGAACGUUUUGGGGUUUUCUGUUGUAAACAAAGAAUAUUUUGAAACAGUUUUCACAAUCAAAUUGAAGAAAAUUAAAGAGGGAUAAGGAAAGAAUAACACAAAAAAUUUACGUGUUCGGUCUCAAUUGAUGAGACUUAUGUCACAGGCAAGCUAGCAAGACUAAUCCGCUAUUGUUAAUUGAACUUUACAAGAUUAAAGCGUUCUUAAGAUUGAUCUCUUAGUAUCUAUCAUUGUUUAUGAACCAUCAAUACUAGCCUUUCUCUUAAUCUUUCUUUCUGUCAUUUUAAUAAUCUUUCUCUAAUUUUCUAUGAAUCAUGAAUUGCAUAUGUCUCUCUUUGUUUCCAGCUCUUACUACUACAACAACAACAUUACAGCUGCUACAAUAUUACAACUUUAUUUAUAGUAUACACAAGCAAACUAAAAAUAACCACCUAUGAUAACUAACCUUUUCAAAUGUAGUUAUAACAACCACUAAAGCUUAACCCACUUUAGUUAGAUGAUUUGAGGCACAUAGUUACAAUUUUCCACCUUGACUCAAUAUUAGAAUAAUUCAAUCAUUGAUGUUGCUGUCAUUGCUUCAUCUUUACUCUUUGUUGAAGCCAACAAUGUCCAAACAAUGCUUGAGCUUAGCUUGUGAAAGUGAUUUGGUGAAUGCAUCAGUUGGGUUGUCCUCAGUUGCAAUCUUCUCAAGUGAAACAUGCUUUGAAUCGAUCACAUCUCUUAUGAAGUGAUACUUAAUAUCAAUAUGUUUAGACUUAUUAUGAUACACUUGAUGCUUGGAUAGGUGUAUAGCAAUUUGACUAUCACAAUAAAUUGAAACACAAUUCUGAUUUAUUCCUAGUUCACCAAUAAGUCCUCUCAUCCAUAAAGUUUCUUAAACACCUUCAGUAAGUGCAAUGAAUUCAAUUUAAGUUGUAGAAAGUGCUAUCACCGACUGUGUAAUUGCUCUCCAACUUACCGCAGUCCCAUAUAGAGUGAAAACAUAACCAACAAUUGAUUUUCUAGUGUCCAUGUUUCCACCAUAGUCCGAGUCCACAUAUCAUUUGAUUGAUUAAAUGUCAUGAUGAUUCUUUUUGAAUUUUAAACCUGCUGUCACUAAGCCAUUUAAGUACCUCAUAAUCUACUUGAGUGCUGACCAAUGCAAUCCAAUAAAUGAAAAAGUAAUAUAAAUAAUAAUAAUAAAAAUAAAAUAUUGUUAAAAAACUGAUAAUAAAAUAAUUAAAAAAAUCAAAGUACAUUUAAUAGAAAAAAAAUAUAUCAAAAUUAAUAUGAUUGAGUAAAUGUAUCAAAACAAAUAAGGUGUCACUCCUAUUUUGCAUAUACUAGCAACUUAAUUUUAUUUUGUUAACGACCUCCUCCUAUUUUUUCUCUUGAUCAAAUAAGUAAAAGAUAAUAAUAAUAAUAAUAAUAAUAAUAAUAAUAAUAAUAAUAAUAAUAAUAAUAAUAAUAAUAAUAAUAAUAAUAAUAAUAAUAAUAAUAAUAAUAAUAAUAUGAAAUAGAGAAAUUAUAUGUCCUUGUUUUGUUUGGAAAAACAUUGAUUUCUUAGACUUUGAAGUUGUUAACAUUCAUAUUUUAAGGAAUGGGUUUAAACCUAACUAUUGGUAUUGGACAUCUCAUGGAGAAAGUGAUCCAUAGAUGCAUGUAGAAAUUAAAAGAAAAAAUAUCCACAAGAGCGACAUAACAAUCAUUUUAAUAAAUUUGAGAGCAUGGUUUAUGAUGCUAUUGGACCACAGUAUCAAAUGCAUUGUGAUGAAAAAUUAAAGGAGUCUCCAAAUAUAGAUGAUCAAAAGUUUUAUGAUUUACUAAAUGCAACUCAAAAGCCCUUGUGACCGAGAUGCAACGAUCACACUGAAUUGUCUUGUGUUGUUAGAUUGUUGCCAAUAAAAUUAGAGGGAAAUAUUUCUCAACAAUCUUUUAAUCAAAUAGUGACACUUAUGAAGGAGACACAAUCUUUUAAAACUUGGUCUCACUGUGGAAAAAUUAGAUUUUUGUGUAAAUGGUUGUAUGUUAUUCUACACUGAUGAAUGUAAACAAUUAAAAAAAUGCAAGUUUUGUAAUGCACCUCGUUAUGAGAAAAAAAGAUUGGUAGGGAUAAAUUCAAAGAGGUACCUAUAUAGAUAAUGCAUUAUUUACCGUUAAUUCCCAAACUUAUGAGAUUAAAUGAUUCGAUGAGCUCAGCUCCACAUAUGAGAUGACUGGUAGAAGACUUUAAUUUGAUUGUUAAGAUUAAGAUUUUGAUUAGGUGAUUUUUCAUUAAUUUCUACAAUUUUUAUGUAUAUUAUUAAUGUACUUUUUGUUUUAUUAAUUGUUAAAUUUGAUUAUAUUAUUUUUAUUUUAGGGUGAAUUAAAUUUAUUUUCUUGUCAAUAUAUAUAUAUAUAUAUAUAUAAAUUUUUAGAUAAAACAAUGUAUCUAUUUGUGUUCAAAAACCAAUUGGAUUAGAUAAGGGUUGUCAAAAUUUUAAACAAAGCUUUAAACCUAAUUCAUACUGCAUGUAUUCUUACAACUCUUGAAUGUAGGCCGAUUUCAACCUCGACAAGACAAACGACACUCGGAGGUUGAGAAGGACAGGGACAAGCUACCGACUGCAGAUAAAAGCAAUCAAAUGUGUGAUCUAUUAUGCAGACAUAAAUUGUUACAAGAAGGGGCCAUGACAGAACAUAAACAAUAUCAAGAUAAAAGAAAAAGAGGACUAAUUUUAAAAGAUUGAUAGAUUCUAAAAUGAGAGUCAUACAACAAUUGAAUCACAUAAAUUUCUAAAUAUUGAAAUAGCAACUAAAUUUUAACGAUCAAAAUUUCAGUCGCUAACUAUUUUUUAAUUACAUGAUUUAGUUUUCUUUAUUAAUCAAAAAAAGAAAAAAUGUAAAAUUGUUUUUUCGAAAUUAUUUUUUCUAGGAAAUGUGAAAUAGUUACUAACUAAUUAAAAAAAAAGUAUGUAGUCGUACCUUUGAAAUUUGGCCCAUGCAAUCCAUGUUUGUCCUUGUCAACGUUUUUCUUUUUUCAAUUUACUCAAACAAACCCUAAAAUUUCCUUUCUUUCUUAACUAAGAAAUUCAUCAUUUCCUUCUCAACCUGGAAACUUAACCUUUCUUUCUCAACACAAUCAAUUUUUCUUACCAGCCCAAACAAUCAGUUCCUCUUUCUUUGUCAACCCACCACAAAUCUAAAACCACUCAUCUCAUGUUAAUCCCCUUUCACCAUCAUUUUAUCACGAUUCACAAUCGCGAAACCAACUAGUUCGGAUUUCAUCUGUUGCUAACCAUCCUCUUACCACCAUUCAUCACGAAACCAUUGUCCAUUCCUAAUCCCCUCUCAAACCAACCUCCGCAACUACGACGUGAAGCCAAUCGAUUCUCUUAAAUCGUUAAACUUCGACGUGAAGUCCUCAUUGUUUGUUGUCUCGUCGGCUAUUGUGAACCAUAAGGUAAGGAAUUUAUUUUCUAAUUUUUUUAUUAUGCUUCAUUUUUCGUGUUUUUUUUUCUAUGACCUUAUCAUUUUGAAUUUGCUUAACUUAAAGAAAUUCUGAAAAUGAUUCAAUUGAGAAUGUUUAUGUCUGUUGAUUUUAGGACUUGAGAUAAAUGUAGUUUGAUGAAAUUAAUUUUGUGCUAUAAAUUUGAUUAAAAUUGAUUUGAAGUGAAGUGAUUUAUGUUUAAAUGUUUUUGUCUUAAAACAGCUCUAUUUAUCACUUGAAUAAAGUGUUUUGAUUAUAGCAGAUUUAAUUUGGCUAUAGUAGAUAACAAAUGUAAAUGGAUAUCCAUGAUUAUGAGUAGUUAUUAUUUGUUACUCCUUCAAUUGAAUAAAGUAUUUUGUGUACUGACGUCAUAGGCAUCUGUUAGACACUAGUCAUAAUUUUAGCUAAAGUUAAAAGAAUUUUCAUUUGUGUGUCUGGUUUUGGAUGAUUUAAUAACAAUUAAAAAUAUAAGAUUUUUAUAAUUCAGCAUGUUCAUUUUUCCUUACCAUUUGAACAUUUGAAGCCAUAUUUUAGUCUCACUGUACAGUUUCAAUGUUUCCAAAAAUGUACUUUUUCCUCUUACUCUCCCAAAAUCUAUUUGUUAAUUAUUUUCUUUGACUUUAUAAAUAAAUACCUUAAAGAAUAGUUUCACUCUUAGUUGUAUGAGCUGUUAUCUGCUAUCUUAUAGAUGUGUUAAUUUUUUUUUCUUUGUUAAAUAAUUUGAUGUGAGCCUCUCUUGUGUUGCAAAAUUUAUUGGUGAGUAUGUUUUAUUAUAUUUAAUAUUUUAAAAGUUUGGUUUUAUUGUAGUUUGACUCAUAGGCAAUUUACUGUUUUUUUUUUUUAUCUUAAAAUUUCUGUUUUUAUGUGUUCGUUUAGUUUAAUAAUUUGUGGUGGGAUUAAAGGCAAAGUAACUUAAGUUUUGUGAAACUGAAUGAAAUGAUGAGGGUUCUGUAAUGAUCUCUAGAUUUCAUGCAAUUGAAUUGAAAAAUCAUUGGUGUCUUGGGUUGGAUUUGUUAUAUUUCUUGUGAGAAUUCACCAACGAAAUAGAAAAAGUGAAGUUAUUUGUUGUUUAUUCUAGAGAAUAUGAUGCACACAACUGUGGGGAAAAUUCGUUUAAAGGAUAGUUGGUCAAUUAUUUUUAUUUUCGUGUUUUACAUUUAAUUUACGAACCAUAGAUGAAUAAUUUCUUUUUUGAAUGACAAAUAUUAGUAAUUAGUUGUUGAAAUUGUUAAAGGAGAAAAUUUCUUCAACUUUAUGUUUCUGUAUUUUUUUUUUUUUUUACAGAAUUCCAAAAUCAUCUUAUCACUAUAAAAUAAAGAUAACAUUAGCAUAGGUGAAUAGUUGACCAUUAAUUAUUAAGGGAGGAAAAUGGUUUAUCAUUUUCUCUUGCAUACAUGAGAGUGUCUAAAAGUAGAUUCAAAUUUGGGAAAGGUGAAUCUUUUUCUUUUGCCAUAUAUCUCUCUCCUUUGAUUAGGGGUGGGCAAAGUUCAGUUCUGAACUAGAACUGUUUGAAAAUUGAACCGAACUGAAUUUCAGUUUAACAAAAUGAACCGAAUCAGUUUCCAGUUUAAAAAACCGAACCGAACCGGUUUUUUAUUUGGAACCGAACCGAACUGGUUUAACUUAGUUUUUUGUUCAUAUAGACCAAAUUUUACAUAAUUACUCCUAAAUACUUAUAAAAAACCGGUUUGGUUCGGCUCGGUUCAGUUUUUUCAAAUUAAAAAUCGGUUCGGUUCUAUUUUUUAAACUGAAAACCGGUUCGGUUCAGUUCUUUGUUUUAAAAAAUCAGUUCCAAAACAGUUCGGUUCUCAAUUUUUAUAAAUCAAUUCAGUUCAAAACCAGUUCGGUUCGGUUCAGUUCAGCAGUUUAGUUCAAUUUUUGGUUUUUUUAACACCCCUACCUUUGAUCCAUUUGCAGAAAUUUUUACAUAACUUUUCUAUGUAAAACCCCUGAUAACAACCUUUCUUGUGUUAAUGUUUUGUAUGCUUAAGUCCACUAAGUUUGAUUAAGACAUAUUUUAUUAUUUAUGCAGCAAUUAAACAAUUCUAUACAACAAACUUCUUUUAUAGAAGAUGGGGUGUUUCAAUGCCUUGAAAUACAUGAAGAAAAAGGGUGAAAAAUGCAACACACAACAUAGCAACCAUAGUGAGCAUGCAUCUACUUGCACUGCCUCAACUUGAAGCUCAAAAUCACUCAAUGUACACCAACAUUGUAACGCCCCAAAUUUUUUGAUCCAAAAAUUACUUAAAAAUAUUAGUUUUCUUUUAGAAAUAACUAUAAUUUUUUUAGAAGUAGUUCAUCAUGUAAUAAUUUGAAGAUGCGUCAGAAAAUGACUUGAUAUUUUAUUUUGUAAAAGAAUGUAAUGCAAUUUACUAAAAUAUUAUUUAUUCAUUUAUUUGCAAAAUUAAUACUCCAGUUAUUAGAUCAAUAUUCAUUUAUGCUCAAAAUAAAUAAAGUCUCUUUAAGUGAAAUUCAAAAUAAGCAAGGUUGACUGAAAUUAGUUACAUUCCAUUAUUUACCAGCAAAUGAAAGCUCACUUCCGCAUUUCUAUUAAAAGCUAAUGAUGCAAAGUAAAUAACUUUACAAUGUAUGACAAAUUUUUUAGUAAUACAAAAUAUUAUUUUUAAAGUAAAGGUCUAAUUUUCCCACGCGCGUGCACCAAUCAAACAUCAUUCAUACAACUUUUGAUAUCAUUAGUACCUAAAUAUUGGUGUAAGGGGUCAGUUCAUCCCACAACAAAAAUUAAACCAAAUAAUAAACUAACAACCAUAAAAUAUGAAUAUAAAAUCCUUUCGUCAUAAAAGAUUUAAAGAAAUUGGUUAUUUAAUAGUUUUGAAAGAUGUAUUAAAAGUCAUAAAAUGUAUCUAAAUAAAUCAAGUAGCAACCGUAGAGCAAAUAAUUAUAUCAAAAUAAAAAUAACAAUAGAAUAUAUGCAAGUUAUGCAUGCUCCUAAAUAUAUGAUCCGGAUAUAACCAGCCACACAAGCGUCCACGCAGAAGUCACCCAUACCAAUGGGGAAAAAUUAAACCAGCCACACAGGCGUCCACAAAGAUGCAUAUGAUAUGUCAUGAAAUGAUAAUGAUGCUCAAAGAUACAUACCACCCCCCAAUUAGAUAAUCACAUAAAUACAUUAUUUAAAACUCAAAUCCCCAGCCACUUAGGCAACCACAAAGAUAACAACAUUUAAACCCAAAUCACCAGCCACUUAGGCAACCACAAAGAUAACAACAUUUAAACCCAAAUCACCAGCCACUUAGGCAACCACAAAGAUAACAAAUAUUUAAAACCCAAAUCACCAACUACUUAAGCAACCACAAAGAUAACAAUAUUUAAAACAUAAACCACCAACCAUACCGCUUAGACAACCUCACAUAUAAAAUAUUAAAAACACAAAUCACUAGCCACUUAGGCAACCACAAAGAUAUCACUAUUUAAAACACAAUUAGGCAACCACAAAUAUAAAAUAUUCAGGAUAAAAUUUUAAUCGCAUAUGACAUCAAAGUUUUAUUCUCAUUGACGUUUUCAAUCAAGAGUCAAUACAUUUGUUAUCCCAAAUAUAUAACACACAAACACAUGAAUAAAUGUCUUACAGUCAUAACUUUAAUUUUAUAACCUAUAAAAUUGGAUUAACAACGUGUUAUUGAUAGAACUCAAAACUCAAAUAACGAAUAACACAUACAAAUAUAAAUUUUAUUUCUUCUACUAUAAAUUUUCUCCGAUUAAUUGUUAUUUAGUCAUACAAAUCAAGGUUUGUCGUUAAACACGUCACAAAAAUCAACUUAAUCAUCUUACGAUAAUUAAAAUUAAAACUUUUCACCAAUUCCCCCAAGACUCAUAUAGAUUUCUUAAAAAUCAAAACUUUGAAACGAAAUAGCACAAAAAUCGAAACUUUAAAUAAAAGAUAUCUUAAAAAAAAUAUUACUCAUGAGAUCAUAAUAAAAAUCAUAACUUUAUAAUUAAGUACACAUAAACGACACAAAAAUAAUAACUUUACAUCAAAUAUAUGACAUCAAACAUAUUACUCAUGUUAUAAUAAUAAAAAUCGAAAUUUUAUAAUUAAGUUUAUCAAAGCAAACAUAUUACUCACAAAAACAUAACAUUAUAGUUAAAUUCUUUAAGGCAAACAGAAAUCAAUAUUUUUCUUUUAAGACAACAAGUUUUAUAUCAAUAUCUUACAAACUAUUAAUUUAAUAUCUAGCCUAACAUUGCAUGGGGAAAAGCCCUUACCUUAGGCGCUUUCUUUCUUAACACCUCUAAAUUUGCACGAGAAAUAGCUCACGAGGCAGUAAUGAAUUCAACACCGAUAGAUAUUAGAAUUUACGACUCAGAAAAUUAUUUUGAGAGUGUAAGAAUGACAAAUAUGUGUGACAACAAGAUGCCUAAUAGAAACGUAUGAACAUAUAAGCUAUUUACGUUGCACUAUUACCAUUGAUUUCUUGUCUAAAAUUGAAGUGCACUUAAGUCCAACAUUAUACUACCAAUAAUUACUAUUUCUUUAAUUUUAUUAGGUUGUUACAAAGCCAAUUGAAAUCAUGUGUAUUUAUAUGUAUCAGUUAAUUUGGAUUAACUAAUAGAGUAAUAUAUAUAUAAUUUAUAUUAUAUUUCUAUAAAAUUUGCAGUAGAUAAAUAAAAAUAUGUUUUCCAGAAAAUAAAAACUGAAUUUUUAAACUUAGGAUAUCACGUUUCUCAAAAAUCAAAAGGAAUACUUUAAACUUAUUUUCUCUGUUAAAAUAGUGUAAUCUCAAUAAGCUUGAUUUAAGUAUUAUUACUUGAUUUAAUUUAAAAACUUACUAGUACUUCUAAGAUUUUCAUACAAAAAUACGUUUCAAAUUAAAUAAGUAAAAAUACAAUUUAAGUUCUUAUUCCCGGUAUCACCUAUCAGAGCGUGGUUCCUCCCAAACUUGAACUUCAAGAUUCAUUAACCUGUAAUAACUGCGAUUUCACAAACGCAUGGCCAAGUCAGUCAAACACAAACAACGAAGGAGGUGAGUUUCAAAAUCAUGAUGGCAGUAUAAUACAUGUAAGAAGAACACACAAACAAUCAUAAUAGAACUGCAUCAUUACACAAACAUUCCAUCAAGAAAUAUCACAUUAAAAGGUCAAAAUCACUCAAGGAAAAUCAAUAAAUUUCACUAUCACCACACACGAUACAUAUUAAUCACAACAAAACAAUCACAAUAAAAUGCAAUGAUAUGCAUGAGCUUAGACGGACAAGAAUACCACUCACACAUAACAAAAUAAAACAAACAUAUCUAACACGUCAAUUUCAUGAUUAUCGAAACUAAUCAAAUAAAAAAUGUCCAUUUAUGAAAUAAUGACAUCAUAAAUAGUCCCCAUGUAAUUGUCACGUCAAAACAAUUAAAUAAAAAUGAAGAUUAUAAUUAUUUAGGUAGAAUAGAGUGUGAUAAAAUUUAAUUUAAUUUAUUUACACAUAGAAUAAUUAUUAAUUUAAUAAUAGCAAUUACUAAAAAGAUACAUAUAUAAUAUAUAUGAAAAUUUUGGGGUGUUACAAACAUGAAAUCCAUUUACAUAUGUUAUCUGCUAUAGCCAAAUUACAACUUUAUUAUACUUUGUACUGUCACAACUAAUAACAGUACUAAUUUAUCAACAAUUUCUUGUGCAAAACUAUAUUUCAAGACAUGGUUUAUCACUUAUGGUCAAAAUCUUCCUCAAAUUCUUUCAUUAUCUUUUAGUUUAAUUUGUUAGGUACAUAACUAUAUAAGGUAAAAUAGCAUGAAAGAGAUACUUAUGUAAGAGAAGAGACACGCUUGCGUUAAUUUAAUAUUUGUUUGUUUGCUAUUCUUUUUAAUUGUUGGUAUACGACAUAUUGAGGAAUUUCGACUAUAUAAUAUAUGUGUUAGCAUUUGCUGUGUUUCUGCCUUGCUAGUUAUUAUGAAAUUUCUAGAAAAAAUAGCAAAUUAACUGAUAUAUGUCCUAUAUGUUUCAGCCAUAUAUUUUUCUAUUCUAUUAAUUUAACACAUUAAUAGUACUGACUAUUAAGGCAAUCACAUCUUACUCAAUUUGUUUACUUCUGCUGUUAAUUUCUAAUUUUCUAAAUUUUUUUAUUAUGCUUCAUUCUUUAUAGGCAUUAUGUAAUUCUGAUGCAUUCUAAAAGGGUUACAUGGAUUUGUGUCAUUUGGAAUCCAACAAUCAGACAUAUGAUAUAGAGAAAUUAGAUGUCCUUGUUUUGUUUGCAAAAACAUUGAUUUCUUAGACUUUAAAGUGGUUAAGAUUCAUAUUUUAAGGAAGGGGUUUAAACCUGACUAUUGGUAUUGGAUGUGACACCCUAAACCCAAAAAUAAUAUAUAUAUUAAUUUAUAUUAUAUUUCUAUAAAAUUUGCAGUAGAUAAAUAAAAAUAUGUUUUCCAGAAAAUAAAAACUGAAUUUUUAAACUUAGGAUAUCACGUUUCUCAAAAAUCAAAAGGAAUACUUUAAACUUAUUUUCUCUGUUAAAAUAGUGUAAUCUCAAUAAGCUUGAUUUAAGUAUUAUUACUUGAUUUAAUUUAAAAACUAACUAGUACUUCUAAGAUUUUUAUACAAAAAUUCGUUUCAAAUUAAAUAAGUAAAAUACAAUUUAAGCCCUUAUCCCCAGUAUCACCUAUCAGAGCGUGGUUCCUCCCAAACUUGAACUUUAAGAUUCAUUAAUCUAUAAUACUGCGAUUUCGCGGACGCAGGGCCAAACCAGUCAAACACAAACAACGAAAGAGGUGAGUUUCAAAAUCAUGAUGACAGUAUAAUACAAGUAAGAAGAACACGCAAACAAUCAUAAUAGAACCGUAUCAUUACACAAACAUUCCAUCAAGAAAAUAUCACAUUAAAAAGUCAAAAUCACUCAAGGAAAAUCAAUAAAUUUCACUAUAACAUCAAAUCGUCUAAGAGGAAUUAUCACCACACACGAUACAUAUUAAUCACAACAAAACAAUCACAAUAAAAUGCAAUAAUAUGCAUGAGCUUAGACUCUACUUCACAAUGUGGUACAAUUCUAACUCUGAAGUACUUGGUUAGGAGGCUUGAUACUAUGCCUCCAUCCCGGUGGACGGACAAUUCAAAUUGGCCCUGUCCUCAUAGAUCCCCUCUACUCAACCCGAGACUCAUAUACGUGACAGUCGAGGUAAACGUGUGUUGCAUGGUAGCUCUCGACAUUUGGAGUGCUACCUCCAAGUCACCUAGGAAUUCCCCACCCGAAUACCUCCAAGGUCUAACAAUCUUGCCUUAAGGCUCGACAGCAGACCGCCACGAUCAGGCUCAUUCAGUUGUACUUCCCCGGAAUCACUAGGCUUGUCAGGCCCUACCUAUAUGAUGACUAAAUAAUCUCCACUUCACAAAUUCACAAUAUUUAUUUUCUUCCCAUGUUGGUAUAUGAUACUCCAUUAAAACCGUCAUCUCAAACACAAAUUGAAAUCACCAUUAUUUCAUCAAACUAUGGAGUUAAUUCAAUAUUCUCAUCACGGUUUAGAACAUCACUAUCAUCAUCAUCACAUAAACUCAUCACAAAUCUAUAGCAUCACUAUCAUCAAUCAAACAUUAUCACAAAUUUAUAACAUCACAAUUAUUAAUCGUACAUCAUCAUCAUUACAUAAAAUUAUCACAACACAUCCAUCUUUUGUUAUCACGUCACUAAAACUCAUCUAAUCACACAUAUAUAUAAAUUUAAUUCGACACCCAAUAUCACAAUAAUAUCAAUAUCACAAAUUCAAAGAAAUUAAAUCAAUCAACACCCUACAAAUAUUUCAAUUCUAUAUUUUAAUCUCACAAUUUCCAUAUUUGCACAUUAAUUAAUUUAUCCCUCAAAGGGCUACUGCCGUACGUAGCGAGCCCCAGAUGAAUCGUUGGGAAAUACGAUUUUCCCGUUCAUCUCACAAUAUAUUAUACUCGUGAAUUCAAACGCUCUCUCACCUCUUAACUUAAUUCAGCGCUUUCACACACGAAUACGAUUCCACGAGCAAACAGCCUUUGUUCAUUGACUCUUUGUCCAUCAAUCGAUCUAACUCGACAGUUUAUGGGUAAACAUUAAAAAUAAUUUAUGAGAAGAUACUCUAAAAACUAAAUUCGAAAUUAGGUCAAGGAAAAUUACCAUAAAUCAGAAAACCAAUCUAUGAAUAAUAUAGCCACUUUUCACACGGUCGUUUUGGCGUUGGUUUCACUCAAAUCGGAAUUACGGUGAAGAAGAACGGCUCAAACUAAGUAAUUUUAUAAACGGAGAAGUCGGAUAUUUUGGAGAGGAAUUUGGAUGGUUAAAAAUCUUAGGAAAUAUGUUUAUUUGACUACCUAAAUAAAUAAAAUGACAUGUUGAAAUUUGGGCGAAAACGGAGAAACUUUUCUAGAACAAUUAUCGAUCAUCGUUGUCAAACUAUAGGUAGUUGUUGUUGUGUUUCUUUUUGGCUUUACGGCCGCCGUCCAACUCCCUUCCUUUUUGUUUGUUUGUUUUAUUUUAUUAACAAUUAGGGUCACACGUGGGUCAAACCCAUUGGUCUCCUUUUAGGUUUUACUAGUUUUAUUUUAUUUUUUUAAAACACAACUUCAUUAAUAAAAUAUUAUUAAUAUUUUAAAACUAAUAAUUGAAACUCUCACAUUCAAAAUAAUCUCUACAAUUAUACUUAUUUCUCAAAAUACUCACAUUAUAAUAAUACCAACAUAUUAGAAAAUAUUCAAAAUUAUAAAAUAAAUAGAUAUAACAUCAAUAUUUUAUAUUAAUUACUAUAUCAUAAUAAAUAUAUAAAAUCACAAUGUCAUAACAAGGAUAUAAAAAUAAGUGAAAUCAAACACAAUAUUAAUUCUAUCUCAAGAUAAUUAUUUAUUAAAAAAAUAACUAAAAAUAAAAAAUAUUUAUAAAUAAUUGAAAUAUAACUACGUGAAUACUUAACAUCAAUCCAACGCACAUAAAAGUAUUACAUUAAUUGGGUACAAGUAUAUAUACGUAAAAUCACAUAAAAUAUUUUUCUUUAAAAUAUAUGUAUUACACUAAAAUACUAUUAUUUUUAAAAAAUAUAACAAAUAAUAAAAUAUAAUAUUUAUUAUUUAUAUCGCUCAUGUAAUCUAAUAUUUAUAAAAAUAGCACAUCAUAAAAAUCACCUAUAUAACAAAAAUUUGUCAAAAAAUUUAUCAUCGUAUAUUAUAAAAUAAUUUUAAUAUUAAAUUAAUUAUUUAAAAUAGUACUAACUAAUAAAAUAGUUUAUUAUAAAAUUUGGGGUGUUACAUUGGACAUCUCAUGGACACAGUGAUCCAGAGUUGCAUGUAGAAAUUAAAAGGAAAAAAUAUCCACAAGAGCGACAUAACAAUCAUUUUAAUAAAUUUGAGAGCAUGGUUUAUGGUGUUAUUGGACCACAAUAUCAAAUGCAUUAUGAUGAAGAAUUAGAGGAGUCUUCAAUAUAAAUGAUCAAAACUUUUAUAAUUUACUAAAUGUAGCUCAAAAGCCAUUGUGGCCGGGAUGCAACAAUCACACUGAAAUGUCUUUUGCAGUUAGAUUGUUGGCAAUUGAAUCAGUGGGUAAUAUUUCUCAACAACCUUUUAAUCAAACAAUGACACUUAUGAAGGAGACACAAUCUUUUGAAACUUGGUCUCACUGUGGAAAAAAUAGAUUGUUGUGUAAAUGAUUGUAUGUUAUUCUACAUUGAUGAAUGUAAACAAUUAAAAGAAUGCAAGUUUUGUAAUGCACCUCGUUAGGAGAUAAAAAAAAUAUAGGUAGGGAUAAAUUCAAAGAAGUACUUAUGAAGAUAAUGCAUUAUUUACCGCUAAUUGCAAAACUUAAGAGACUAAGUGCUUCGAUGAACUCAACUCCACAUAUGAGAUGACAUUAUAAAAAUAGACGAGAACCAGGAGUGAUGUGUUAUCCAUCAGAUAGAGAGGCUUGGAAACACUUUGAUCAAAUUUAUCCUGACUUUGUUGUUGAACCGAGGAAUGUAAGGUUGAGAUUGUAUGCCGGUGGUUUUACACCAUUUAAUCAUACUACCUCACAUUAUUCAUAUUGGUCGAUAAUUGUCACUCCUUACAAUCUUCGUCCAGAACUAUGCAUGACAACUCCCUACAUGUUUCUCACUUUGAUUAUUCCUGGACCACAUAAUCCAAAGAGCAAGAUAGAUGUGUAUUUGCAACCUUUUAUAGAUGAGCUCAAAUUUUUAUGGAAUGAAGUAGUACUUACAUAUGAUAUUUUCAAAAAAUUGAAUUUUAUAAUAAAAUAUUCAUUAAUGUGGACUAUUAAUGAUUUUCUUGCAUAUGGUAUGUUGUUUGGUUGGAGUACAAAAAAGAAAUUAGCAUGUCCAUAUGCAUGAGUCAAUCCAAUACUUUUUUCUUGAAACAUGGUGGUAAGUGUUAUUGGUUGAUUCUCAUCAUCAAUUUUUACCUAUGGAUCACGUAUUUUGAUGAAAUAAGGAUGCAUUUUACAAGAAUCGAAUAGAAAAGUCUCAACCUCCACAACGGUUAACUGAGGAUGAUGUGUUGGAAGAAGUUUGUUAUCUCCCUAAAAUAACUGAGGUUGAUCCGUGUAUAUGUGAUGGAUUUGGAGUGAAUCAUAAUUGAAAAAAAUAAAGUAUCUUUUGGGAGUUGCCUUAUUGAAAAACCAACUUUAUAAGACAUAAUCUUGAUGUAAUGCAUAUUGAGAAGAAUGUGUUUGAUAAUAUUUUCAACACAGUGAUGGAUAUCAAAGUAUCUUUUGGGACACUAAUUCAGUCUCAAAAAUCGAUCACAAAAUCGGUCACAAAAUUUAGUCCCAAAAUCCAUCAAAAAAUUCGGUCACUAAAUCGGUCGCUAUUAGAUAUAUUGACCGAUUUUUCCAUUUAGUUACCAAAAAAUUGAUCUCUAAAAGUGUUUUCUUUCUAAUAGUGUCCACCUAAUAAUUUUUUUUCCUAUAAUUAUAUUAAAUUACAUACCUACAAUAAUAAUAAUAGUAAUGUAUUUUAUUUAUUGUACCACAAAUUUAAGAGUUUAUUUGUUAAUCACUUUCAGAGUAAAUAUUUUUAUACUGUCGAUACAUCACAACUAUUUAUGGACAUGACUUUUUAUUUAAACAAUCAAACGAAAUAUUAAAAUAAUAGAAUUCUAAAGCUCUAUAUUCUGGUUGUGACGAAGAAUGAAAAACAAUUGAAUGUUUCUUACUUUUCCAUGGAAUUAAAGAGUUGUCAAGAGAAAAACAAAAGUUUGUUGUCAUCUUCUAGAUCUGAUAUGAGUUCCACUCAAAAUCGCAAAACAACUGGAGAGUUGAAAUAGAAUAAUGGAUGUUGUUGUGAAAAAUCUUUUUCUAGUUUACCUUCAAAUAAUUUAGAAUCCUUAGUGCAGCCUAGAGAUGAGUGGCAAAAGGAGAAGAGAGGAAUUGAUGUAUAAUUUAUACAAACAAUAUAAGAUAUGUCGAAGAAUUAACAUGUAGCCUAAAGCUGUUUUUUAUUUAUUUAUUUUAUCUAAAUUCAUCUCUCUAAAUUAUUUUAUUUCCUCCUUUUAGUUAAAUAAUUAAUUUUCUACACAAAUUUACUUCUUUUUUGUGUAUUUUAUUUAUGAUUUAGUCAUUAGAGUGCGACAUUGAUUUGUUAUUUAUCAUAGUAUGUUAUAUUUUGUUUUUCAAUUUUAGUGUGGUGUCUAUAGAAUCAAAUGACUCGUUUUGUCGAUACUAUAUUUUAGGCAACAAACUUAUGGAAGCUAACACCAAAUUCAACACUAUCUCAACUUUACAAAUGACUUAUCAAUACGUAGUUGAAUUUGUCAUGUCAGAUAUCACCUAUAAUCGAUAUGAACGUACACCAACAAAUAUUUCUUUUUUCCAAAGAUGGAUAAGAAUAAAAAUCAUACAUCUCAUAUUAUUCUUAACCAUUGACUAGUAGAAGACUAUAGUUUAAUUGUUAAGAUUAAAAUUUUGAUUAAAAUAUUUUUCAUUAAUUUCUGCAAUUUUUAUGUGUAUUAUUCAUGUACUUUUUGUUUUAUUAAUCAUUAAAUUUUAUUAUAUUAUUUUUAUUCUAGUGUGAAUUAAAUUUAUUUUCUUGUCAAUCUAUCCAUUUGUGUUCAAAAACCAAUUGGAUCACAUAAGGGUUGUCAAAAUUUUAAACAAAGCUUAAAAUCAAAUUCAUGGAUGUGGAAGUUGGUUUAGAAACCAACAACCCUAAUCUUCAAGUAAAGUCAAGGGUAUAUUUUCUUUGGGUAAGGAAAUAUCCACUUCAAAAUCCAAAAGAUAUUUAAAUAUUUCAAAAUCAUCAAUAUUGAACUUUUUAUCUUGUAAUUGUUUUAAUACUUUGUAUAUCAAGUAGUCCAACAAUAACAAGAUCAUCAAGUAGACAGAUUCCAUGACAUUGUUAUGUUUAUUUUCCUUCCUGGGUUGUUAAUAUACUCUUAAUAAUUAAAAUAACUAUGUUAACAUCUUAUAUGCCUAUGUUUGGUUUUACUUUUGGAGCAUGUAAAAUUGAUUUGAACAAGAUCAUCAACGUAAGUUAAAAUAAUAAAAAAAAGGACUUAUUUUUUUUUUUUUAAAAAAAGGAGUAUUCACUACGCGAAAAAACGCAUAUUACAGCGCUUUUUUAAAGCCAUUUACAGCGCUUUUUCAAAAAAAAUAAGCGCUGUGGAAUCGAGCGCUGUAAAUGAUACAACAGCGCUUUUAAAAAAACGCUAUAAAACAUGUAAAUACAACGCGCGCUUGUUAUGCACAUUUUACAGCGCUUCUUCACAAAAAAGCGCUGUAAUAUGCACCCCAUUAUAUGAGUUAUGAGUCUGCUUUUAGAGCGCUUUUUAACACAAGCGCUGUAAAAUGCACACCCAUAAUUUCAUAUAUGGGUGCGCAUUUUACAUCGCUUUCUCAAAAAAGCGCUGUAAUAUGCCCAACCAUAAUUUCAUAUAUGGGUGGGCAUAUUACAGAGCUUUUUUGAGAAAGCGCUAUAAAAUGCCCACCCAUAAUUUCAUAUAAUGGGUCUGCAUUUUACAGCGCUUUUCUUGUACAUUUUACAGCGCUUUCUCACGAAAGCGCUGUAAAAUGUGCACCAUUAAAGCGCUUUAGAACAACAUUUUACAGCGCUUUUUAAAAAAAGCGCUGUAAAAUGUGUGUUUUUUUUUUUAAACGCUGUAAAUUAAUUAUUUGAAAUGAAAAGCGCUUUUUAUGCUUAACCAAUUUUUUGUUGUUGUAGGGCACAUUGGGUGCUAUUUGCAAUCAAUGCGGUCUCUGAAGUGAUAUACUAUUUGGAUCCCGUGCACGGCGAUUACACCAAUCACCCCGGAAUAAAGAAUAUGCUCGACACGUAAGUAAUAUUCAUUUAUUUCUUACAUAUAUAUAUUUAUAUAUAUAUAUAUAUAAAUAUAUAUAUGUAAGAAAUAAAUGAAUAUUACUUACGUGUCGAGCAUAUUCUUUAUUCCGGGGUGAUUGGUGUAAUCGCCGUGCACGGGAUCCAAAUAGUAUAUCACUUCAGAGACCGCAUUGAUUGCAAAUAGCACCCAAUGUGCCCUACAACAACAAAAAAUUGGUUAAGCAAUUUUGUUUAUAGACAACUAAUAAAUUAAAUUCUCAUCAAUUAAAAAAGAUAAAAUUACGUACCCUGAAUUAUAUGGUGCCAAGAACAAUUUAUCACUUUCUUUAUUUCUUAAAAACAUAUCUACAAUGUAGUGUUUUACAUUGUCUGGAUCGAGUUUGAACAUCGACAUCUUAUGCGGAGACAAGAAUGAGUAUUUAUUUGACAGUUUCCUCGUGCACACGACCUUCUCGUACAAAAACCUUCAAUGAAAAUUUUAAACUAGAUUAAUUACCAAUACAUUUAAUUAAUUACAAAUAAAUGCAAUUAAAAGUAUUUUUUACCUUAUGUACAAGCUGAUUACAGUAACACUCAGCUCCUUAUGUUCGAGAAGAUCGUACAUUUGCUCCUUUUCGAGGUAUUCAAUAUACUCAUCUCCAAAGAUGUCUUGAUUCAUUUGUACAAUGGGCGAAUCGUUGCUGCUGCCCAUGUUCCUUUUUAUUUGGAUGUCAAGACACGCCCCGUAUUUACCAAGGCGUGGCUGACUUUUAUUAGGAGCAGCAGCAGCAGCGACCGAUUUUCCCCGAUCCAGAUUUUUUGUUGCUGCAAGUUUUGCAGCUUUAUUACCCUCCAGCCUUUGUAGUUUGGCAGCCCUAUUAACCUCCAAUUUUUGAGGUCUGCUGCCUUUUUUUGGCUGUAGGGGUGGUUUAUUUAUUUGGACCUACAAAAAUGAGGUAAAAUGUUAGUUUAUUGAAUCUGAAAAAAUAAAAAACCUUAGGCAAUAAAUGUGACAAACCUUUUCGGGAGAUGUAACUGAUUUGUCCUUGGGAAUCUUUUUUUCGAGGGCAACAAGGUGUGUGGGCCAUGCCACGUAACUGCCAAUAGCGUCGCUUAAGAACUUCAUAUCUCCAUCGUUGUCCGGUAUGGGCAACGGUGCAGUUGGUUCGAAAGCAACCGUAGGCGAUACUUUGACAUGGCCCGCGGGGAUCGGAAUAUUGUGCAAUACUUCUCCCGAAGUAUUGUGCAAUAUUCCUUUUCCCACCUUCCGUUGAGUCGGCGAGGACAAGUAUAGGACACAUGUAGUGACACCCUACAUCAAUAGUUAAAACAUAAGUACAGUUAAUAUAUAAGUUUGUUUAAUACAUAAGUAAUUACAUAAGCAAGUAAGUAGUAAGUAAUUAAUUACCUCGGGAAUACUCUUCAAACCGACGUUGCAACUCCCGGUUUCACUCUCCAUUUGUAUUUCAGGUUGGAGCUGAACCGGAAGUUGCUUGUCUUUAUUCGUAUUCACCAAGAGUGCCACUUGCUCCGAUAAGAUUCUGAGCUUCUCUAAUACUUCCUCGUUGGAAGGUUUUUGGCGCUUCUCUUGAGGAAAAAAGCUUUUGGGAGUUACGCCAAAUCCUUUCCCCCUCACUCGACCGGAAUACUCAGGGACAUUAAACACUUUCCCAAGAAUGUCCCUGCACGUAUCCUUGUUGCCCUCUUGAGUUUCAGAACUUUGUUCAAUAGUUUCCUAAAAUACAUGUAACAUUAAAAAGAUAAGUUCAAUAGCAUUUUUAAAAUACAAUAUUAAAAAAUAUUAAAGUGAUAAUAUACUUACACAAAGUUCUACAACUUUCUUGACAUUUUCAUUAUCAACCACUCCUUCUUUGUUAACACGCGCUUCCUUCCAUAAGAUAUGACGACCCAAGGGUUGAUCGGCUUGGGUGUCUUUUCUCUAUUCGUUAAAAUCAUAAACAAAAUAAUACAAAUUAGUUACACACUAUAGUUUAUAAUACAAAUUACAAGUGAUGUUUAAUUACUUACAAUUUUUUGUUCAAGGCGUGCAUAUCCCAUACGUGAUUUCUUGUAUGGGUGUUUUGGGUUGCUUGCCCGUUCGCGAUUUGCCUUACUAAUAUUCUAUAUAAAAAAAAAAUAGCAAUUGUGUAAAAAUUUAAAAUACGCUACGAAUAUGAAUAAUAAAACACAAAUGCUAAUAAAUUAAUCACUUACGACAAACGCCGGGUCAGAACGUUUGGAAACAAAUGCACUCCAUUCAUCCUUUGAUAUAUAAUGUUGAUAUAUCUUUGGAGGUUCAGCAUUUGUGUUUCCUUCUCUAUCUUUUAGAUAGAAAUUUGAGAGAUGGGAUCUAAAUCCACGAUGGAUUUUCCCAGCAACUCUCAAAACAUAUGACUUUCGUUCCUCAUCAAGAACAAAAGUGGUCUGCAAUGAAAACAAUUAUAAGUAAUGUAUUUUACAGAAAAAAAAUUAUAAAUGACAAAAGAGUAGAUCAAAAUAUUUACUUGAAUGUCAUUCCAGAUGAUAUCUUUGGCAUCCUUCAACGCCUUAUCUCUCCAGUUGUCUAUUGUUAUUGGGACAUUUUGACGAACAACAGCCCCAAUGUAGCUUACAAACAUGGAGCUGUUGGGGUCAACUGGCUGACCACUCUCGUUCCAGCCAACCUAAUAAACUCAUAUAGUAAGUACAUGCCCUAAACCCUAAAAAAAGAUAAAAAAACACACAGCAAACAGAGUAUAUAUAGUAUACCUCAAAUUUAAUGCCACUGCUCCGUGCUUUAAUCACCCUUUGCAUGAUAGUUGCACCACGUUUGACUUCUUUUUCGUAAGUCUUAGAGGUGCCAACUUCUUCAUUUUGAACUUCUAAAUCUUUGUUUGUAUCCAUUUAACUACAACAAGUUCAACAUGCACUUUAGUAUAACAUCAACAAGCUCAACAUGGAUCAUGCAUUAUUAUAAACAAACUCAACAUGUAUCAGUAUAUCUUAAAAAAGCUCAACAUGCAUUCUAAUGAUUACAAAAAUUUAAUAACAUCAAUACCUGAAUAAUGAUGGUUCGAAGAAAGACGAAAUGCAAAGAAAAGAGGGUUUGCAGAAAGUUCACAGAAAUAUGGUUCACAGAAAUACGGUUUGAAGAAAUACGUAAUGAGGGUUACGUAUUUCAAUGAAAAUAUAUUGUGUGAAAUGGGAGAGAUGAUCUUGGAUGGAAAUAAGGUUCGAAAUGAAGGAGAUGAUCGUGGAAAUAAGGUUCGUAAAGGACGGGAUGAUAGGGUUUGCAAAAGAAGAGAAGAAAUGAAGGUUGAGAUGAAGGUUACGUAAUGAAGAGGAAACUGAAGAGGUAACUGUUAUAUAUACGUAACACUUUUACAGCGCUUUUUAUAAGCCUUUUACAGCGCUUAUUUUGUAAAGCGCUCUAAAAGGCUUCUUUAGUUAAAUUUUUAAAAGGCUCUUUUACAGCGCUUUUUUCAAAUAAGCGCUGUAAAAGACCUCCGUGUGUUAUUAUGUUAUUUGAAUGCCUUUUACAGCGCUUUUUUCAAAUAAGCGCUGUAAAAGACCUCCGUGUGUUAUUAUGUUAUUUGAAUGCCUUUUACAGCGCUUUUUUCAAAUAAGCGCUGUAAAAGACCUCCGUGUGUUAUUAUGUUAUAUGAAUGCCUUUUACAGCGCUUUCACACAUAAGCGCUCUAAAAGGCUUCUUUAGUUAAAUUUUUAAAAGGCUCUUUUACAGCGCUUUUUUCAAAUAAGCGCUGUAAAAGACCUCCGUGUGUUAUUAUGUUAUAUGAAUGCCUUUUACAGCGCUUUCACACAUAAGCGCUCUAAAAGGCUUCUUUAGUUAAAUUUUUAAAAGGCUCUUUUACAGCGCUUUUUUCAAAUAAGCGCUGUAAAAGACCUCCGUGUGUUAUUAUGUUAUUUGAAUGCCUUUUACAGCGCUUUUACACAUAAGCGCUCUAAAAUGUCUCUUUAUGUUAAUUUUAAGAGGCUCUUUUACAGCGCUUUUCCCAAAUAAGCGCUGUAAAAGACCUCCGUGUGUUAUUAUGUUAUAUGAAUGUUUUUUAAAGCCUUUUACAGCGCUUUUCCACAUAAGCGCUCUAAAAUGUCUCUUUAUGUUAAUUUUAAAAGGCUCUUUUACAGCGCUUUUUCCAAAUAAGCGCUGUAAAAGGCCUUAUUGUUUUUGUGUUUUGUUAUGUUAUGUUAUUUUUUAAACAAGCUCAACAUGCAUGCAAAACCCACAUAGUAGUAACUGGUCACCACAAAAAUCCCUUCCUCUUCACCAAACUCUUCUCCUUUUAUGCAUCUUCUUCACAAACAUCAAAGCUUACUCUUUCACAAUUCAAUCUCCACCUCAACACCCUUUUUAUCUCUUUACAUUCUCUUUCCUUCUUAAAUCGAAACUUAAUUGGUAUUCAGGAUCAUUGCCAUGUUGCGAAAAAUGGGUUUGUGUCUGGUGUUUUUGGGGAUUCCCAUGAUGCGUACAAGGUGUUUGAAGAAAUGGGUUUGUGUCUGAUGUUUUUUGGAUUCCCAUGAUGCGUACAAGGUGUUUGAAGAAAUGGGUUUGUGUCUGAUGUUUUUUGGAUUCCCAUGAUGCGUACAAGGUGUUUGAAGAAAUUAGGUGUCUGAUGAAUAUUAUUUUUAAAGCUUUUUUACAGCGCUUUGUCAAAUAAGCGCUGUAAAAUGUCUUUUUUACUCACUUUCAAAAGAGUCGUUUACAGCGCUUUGUGUGAAAAGCGCUGUAAAAGGUAUAAAACACUCAUUAUUUUAUUUUUAAAAGGAUCUUUUACAGCGCUUUUUAAGAUAAGCGCUGUAAAAUGUCUCUUUAUUUUAUUUUUGUGUUUGGUUUAUUUGGGUUGGGAUGACAUUAAAAACAUUUUUAUCAUUGUUUAUUGGAUUAAAAAUAUUGUUAUCAUUGUCUUUAUCACAAUACUUUAGGAGAUGAUGAAUUAUUAGAAAUGAGUAUUCUGAAGAAUCUAUAUAUAUAUAUGCACUGAGCAAAAGAGAAUCUCUCUAUUCAGUUCAGUUCAGUUCAUGUAAAUUACUAAUUUAUAUUCAGUUCAGUUCAUGUAAAUCAAGCUAAAUAUAAAACACUCAUUGUUACAUGAACUUGGUAUAAAACACUCAAAUCAAGCUAAAUAUAAGCAGAAAAUAAAUUAAUCAGAAAAUAAAUUAAUCAGAACUUAGUAUAAAACACUCAAUUCAGAUUACAUGCAUAUUUACAAUAACACAGUUCAGAUUACAUGCAUAGCUUAUAUAAAACAAUUAAACAUAUAUAUACAUUAAGAUGCCCUUCUUCUUUUCCUGGUGACAUUCACAUUUGUUUGUCCAUUUACAAUACGAAACGAUGGAUUAAUCCAAAUUCCCUCAUCAUGAUCAUCUCUAAGAUAUAAACCAUCAUCAGUUGAAUCAAUUUCAUGUGGUUGUUGUGAUGUUGCAAAUAAAAGAUCAUUACCAACAUCUUCAUCAUUAUUGUUAUCAUCACUUAUUUUAUUGGUCGAUAGGACAACAGACCAUUUAUCAUUAGAAGGAUCAGUGACAUAAAACACUUGUUGAGCUUGCGACGCUAAAAUAAAAGGCUCGUCUUUGUAUCCCACCCUAUUAAAAUCGACAAGCAAGAAUCCUGACUCAUCAAUCCGAACGCCAUUAUUAUUAUCGACCCACUUGCAACCAAAUAUGGGAACACGAAACAUUGUGUAGUCUAACUCCCAUAUGCGCUCGAUAACCCCAAAAUAUGAUAGAUUUGCAUAUAUUGGGUUUUUGUCUUUUGCACUUGAGACAUGCAUCGCUUCAGCUACGAGAGUGACUCCACUAUUUUGCAUAGUGGUCUGAUCAUCUUGUUCUUUGGUAUAAAAUGUGUAGCCGUUAAUAACAUAACCAGUGUAAGAAAAGACAUGUAAGCUCGGACCAUUUGCUAGCCACCUCAAUCUAUUUGAAAUUGAUCCGGGGUCUAUAUCAAAUUUUGACAUUAUGUGAUUUUUUAACCAUGUUACAAAACUUCGAUUGUGCUCUCGAGUUAUCCAAUUUUGAUUCCUAUUCAUGUUCAAACGAGAUAACUGAUCAAUGUGUAUUGUAACAUACGGUUGAACCUCAUCAUCAUUGUGCAGAACAUACAAUUGUGCCUGCUCCCAUUCUGUCCUUGAUAUAGUCAGUAGUCUCCUUCCAGUUAUCCCUUCUCCUGAUAGUCUUCCCGAAUGACGAGACAUGGGAAGCCCUAUGGAUUCAACAUUGGACAGAUAUUCAGUACAAAAUUCAGCAGCCUCUUCAACAAUGUAUCGUUCAGCAAUACAACCUUCUGGUCGACUUCUACUUUUUACGUACCCUUUUAAUAUUUUCAUAUAUCGUUCUAUCGGAUACAUCCAUCUCAUAUAAGCUGGCCCACAAAGUUGUGUCUCCUUAACCAGAUGAACAGUAAGGUGAACCAUUAUAUCAAAAAACGAUGGUGGGAAAUACAUUUCAAGCUCACACAAAGUAACAACAAUUUCCCUCUGCAAUGUCGGUAAUUUCUGAGGGUCGAUCACUUUACUACAAAUUUCCCUGAAGAAGAAACAUAAUCUAGUUAAGGCUAGUCGAACUUUUUCAGGUAAAAUGGAACGUAUACCUAUUGGUAGCAAAUGCUCCAUUAUAAUAUGACAAUCAUGGGUCUUCAAACCUUUUAACUUGAGGUCUUUCAUACAAACCAAAUUUUUAAUGUUCGAAGAGUAUCCUUCUGGAACUUUAACUUCGUGUAGAAAUUUACAUAAAACAAUUUUUUCCUUUCUAGAUAGAGUAUGAGCGGCUGGAGGUAGAUAUGUGCGAUUUCCUUUCUUUACUGGAGCCAGUUCAUUUCUUAUUCCCAUAUCGACCAAGUCCAAUCUUGCAUUGACGCCAUCUUUAGACUUUCCUGGAACAUUGAGUAACGUACCAAUAACACUUUCAAAUACAUUUUUUUCAAUAUGCAUCACAUCGAGGAAAUGUCUUACAUACAAUGACUUCCAAUAUGGCAAUUCAAAGAAAAUUGACUUUUUCUUCCACCCAGUUUUCACCAGCUCUCCCGCAAAAGGUUUGCCAAAUUUAUUGGUCAAACCUUGUACUUUUUCAAGUAUUUGAUAUCCAGUCGGUGCUAAAGGAGCUUUACCUUCCUCUGAUUUUCCAUUGAAUGCAUUUCUCCACCCACGAUACUGAUGACUAUAAGGUAAAAAUCUACGAUGUCCAAGAAACACAUUCUUCUUACAAUGUUUCAACCGCAUCCAAUUUGUACUCUCUUCACAUAUAGGACAUGCACACUGACCUUUAAUGCUAUAUCCUGAUAAAUUACCAUAUGCUGGAAAAUCAUUAAUUGUGCCGAACAACAUAGCCCUCAAAUUGAAACACUUUUUCCUAUACCCAUCAUAAACUUCCACACUUGUCUCCCACAUACUUUUUAAAUCUUCGAUUAGAGGAGUCAAGUAUACGUCGAUAUCAUUCCCCGGUUGUUUGGGUCCAGAAAUUAACAGAGACAACAUCAUAAACUUACGCUUCAUACAUAACCAUGGAGGUAGGUUAUAUAUUACCAAAAUCACAGGCCACGUGCUAUGUGAGAUGCUUUGAAGACCAUGUGGAUUCAUUCCAUCAGUAGAAAGUGCAAGUCUUAGAUUUCUUGACUCUAUCCCGAAUUCAGGAUACUCGUGAUCAAUUUUUGCCCAUUGUGGGGAAUCUGCAGGGUGUCGAAACAUUCCAUCUCUAAUUCUUUCAUCUGCAUGCCAUGUCAAGUGUUUUGAAUCUUCUUCACUGCGAUACAUGCGCCUAAAUCUUGGUAUUAUAGGAAAAUACCACACGACUUUUGCUGGAGUAGAUUCUUUCUUCUUAUAUCGAGAGACAUUGCAUUUCGGACACGCCUUAAGUAGUUCAUAUUCGUUUCGAAAUAAAAUGCAAUCGUUAGGACACGCAUGAAUCCUUUCGUAACUCAUUCCAAUAGAACACAAAAUCCGUUUAGCCUCGUAGGUUCGACUGGGAAGUUCAUUAUCAUAUGGCAACAUAUCUUUUAUGAGUGUUAAUAAUUCUGUAAAGCUUUUAUCAGACCAUCCAUUACUCGCUUUUAAGUUGUACAACUUUAAUAUCGCUGACAGUCUUGUGAAUUUAGUACAACCAUUAUAUAAUUCUUUCUCUGCAUCACUCAACAAACUUUCAAACAUUUUAGGACAAUCUCGAAGAUCUUCUUCAACUGCUUUUGCAAUCUCAUCAACUCGGUCCGGCUCAUAUGUAUCUGUAUCGAAAUCAGUUGAAGCAUAUGUAGAACUAUUCUCAAAAUUAAUGUUUCCUUUUUUUUUCUCACCAUGUCUUAUCCAACAUGUGUAGCUUUGAUCAAUUCCAUUACAUACUAGAUGUCCUUCUAAUUCAUCUUCUCUAACACGUUUUCCAAAACAACAUUUUAAACAAGGACAAACUACUCUAUUUGCAUGUGUGCUUACAUCUCUUGAAUGUAGGCCGAUUUCAACAUCGAGCAGACAAAUGACACUUGGAGGUUGAGAAGGACAGGGACAUGCGACCGACAGCAGAUACGAGCAAUAAAAUGUGUGAUCCAUUAUAUUUUGGCAUAAAAACGUAUAUAAAUCUAUACACUUAGAUUCUUACCAAAUAUAAAUUGAAAGGAAUAAAGGAACAGAGAAUCAUACCAAGUUACCAACCAACACAAGAAUCAUACUCACGCAAGCAAUGAAUGACUAUCGCAGUGACAUCAAAAUGCGCAUUUUUCUUUCUCUCUCAGCAUUCAAUGCUUCUUGGCUGUACUCACGCCUUAGAAUAAUUUCCUGAACCAUUUCGGUAAUAUCAUCUAAAGAGUGCUGAAUAAACCUUGCCAUAGACUGUUGGGGUUUCUUUUUCGGUGCCGACGGAAGUGACGGAGUGGCCACCGUAUGAGAGAGUGAUGAAAUCGGAGUACCUGGCGGGGAAUCCAUCACGGAUAGAAAAACCUAAAAAAAAAAUCAAAGAACCACAAAAUAGCCACACAGACAAACCAAAAAAGAGUAAAACUAAAAAAAGUAACAAUGAGAAAAGUGAGAGGGAGAGGGAGAACGAGAGAUUGUAAAGUAGAGAGAGCUUUCGUUCCGAUCGUUAGUGCGUAAACAACAACGUUGUUCUUGUGUUGAUUGAGAACAGAACUGAUCCAUAUAAAUAAGAUAGAGUUAUUUGCGGGUUAAAGGCGGUGGCAUUACAAUCGUCUCUUUCUUUUU